ensembl:lncRNA
GGGCCUCCUGGACCACCAGGCCCUCCAGGUCCCCCAGGGGCCCAAGGGUUUACAGGAAUCCAAGGCCCACAGCCUCCUGUUUUGCUGCCUCAGGAUUCAGCUUCCACGGGCAAGGAGGGCUGUGGCGAAUGCUCCAAGGGCCUACCAGGUGUGCCCGGCGUGGUUGGUGCUAAGGGCGAGAAGGGAGAUCAGGGCAAGCCUGGCGUUGAACACUUAGAUAGAUGCGAACGGUGUUUAGAGAAGCUGCAGAGAGAAGAAACACCAAGUAGGCCUACGAGUAACAGUGGUCAGUGUGUUGGUGCACCAGGGAUGCCCGGAUUCCCAGGGACCGCAGGGGUCAAAGGAGAGCCGGGUCCUAGAGGUGAGCGAGGACCUCCUGGUCUUCCUGGAACCCCAGGCAAUAUUGGUUUCCCUGGUCCUCAAGGGCCUCCUGGACUGCCUGGUCAACAAGGUCAGAGAGGGACAGACGGACUUCCAGGACAGAAAGGUGAACAGGUGAGUAUCUUAAGAAUAUAUACUAAAAAGGAGUCCAUGGACAGUUUGCUGUAUUAUUGAGUUACUUUUGUUAUUUUCACAAAGGCUCCACCAGGAAAUCCUGGCUAUCCUGGAACCAUGGGACCGCCUGGCCUCCCUGUAAGUGGUAUCAACAAUUGACCAUUGACAACUGACCAGAUGCAGAGACAUCAUAUAUUAAUGUUUAGACAUGUUGUAUAACUGCUAAUUGUUUGAUUGGUGGGUUAAAGUCAUAAUGCGUUUUUCCUAGGGCCUUAAAGGAGAGCGUGGCAGUCCAGGAACUGCAGGGC